rnacentral:rRNA from 1 species
GGAGCUUGCUCCUUUGACGUUAGCGGCGGACGGGUGAGUAACACGUGGAUAACCUACCUAUAAGACUGGGAUAACUUCGGGAAACCGGAGCUAAUACCGGAUAACAUAUUGAACCGCAUGGUUCAAUAGUGAAAGGCGGCUUUGCUGUCACUUAUAGAUGGAUCCGCGCCGUAUUAGCUAGUUGGUAAGGUAACGGCUUACCAAGGCAACGAUACGUAGCCGACCUGAGAGGGUGAUCGGCCACACUGGAACUGAGACACGGUCCAGACUCCUACGGGAGGCAGCAGUAGGGAAUCUUCCGCAAUGGGCGAAAGCCUGACGGAGCAACGCCGCGUGAGUGAUGAAGGUCUUCGGAUCGUAAAACUCUGUUAUCAGGGAAGAACAAAUGUGUAAGUAACUGUGCACAUCUUGACGGUACCUGAUCAGAAAGCCACGGCUAACUACGUGCCAG